rnacentral:lncRNA from 1 species
AGUCUUAACCAGCUCAGCUCCAACUAGGCGCCGCUGAUCCAAGUUCCUGGAAAAUAACUCCGGCAAACAUCUCAUUGUUAGGCUCCGUGCGGCUCGGAGGAGGAGCGAGCCUUCUGCAGCGACAGUUAAAAGGACCUUGGUACGGCAAAUGGCCUUUGAUAAGCUUGUCAGGUGGAUCACCUGUAUCUUUGUCGCCGGUACCUUGUCAGUUCCCUGCGAGCGUUUUAAAAUACCUACUGAUACUGACUACUUGACUUCAGUCGAGAUGUAUCUAUCUGUUCUACCUUUCUCUUGAACUCUGGAAUAACUACAUGUAAUAAGUUGCUACUCACAUUACCUUUCCAGGAUAGUAUAUUUUCUUAAGCUACUUAAGCUUUUUAAGAAGCCAUCAUUGACCAGCUGCCGGUAGAAACUUCAGGUAUUGGAACCUAGAGGCACGUUCUGCGGCCCCCAUCACUCACAUAUGCACGAGCUGCAGGACCUGUUUCUGGGCGCCGUGUCACUGCUGCCUACACGCAUCUGCCACCACUCUCAGCAGGGACCCUGCACAAGCGUGCACACUGCACACGGCAGCGCAGGCCAGGCGUUCCCACAAAUCCAGUGUCUCUGGAAAAACAGAGCUGCUUGAAGAAGUUAUCAUCAGAAGAAGUUGCCGAGAAGCAAUGAGGCUCCAGUCAGAAGUUCCUGAAUGGGCGCUGAUGGUGAGUGGGGAUGAAAGGUGAGGUGGGGGACAAGAAUGCAGAAAUGGGGUUUCCAGCAUGUCAGCCAGGCUGAGGGGGAAAUCCUCUGCUUUUUCCAAGGGUAUAGGUGAGGAUGCGUCAAUCAGAGAGGAUGUGUUACAACAAAAUAGUUUUAUGUGGCACUGCACUAAAACGAAGCUAUGCUAGCUUUGACUUUUCAGUGUAUAAUAACUUUGGCUGUUUAAUUGAUGGGUCAUGUUGUCUAAAUGGUUGGAAUAAAGGUGAUGAGGCAGCCCUGCGCCUCGGUAACUUUUUGAAUCCCUUGUUUACCCCAAAUUCUGGAGGGAGCUGUUGGUGAAACUAGCACAGAUGUCACAGGCAGCAAAGGCUUCAAAUCCCACCUGACGGUCCUCAAACCUCCAGAACAGCUUCAUGGAGAAGAAUGAUAAUUACGUUGAUUGAAUCCUCAUGACUGAGCUCCUUUUUCAGCUGCUUUGAUUUAUUCUUUUGAGUAUAAACGAGUUUUCAAUGAGCAUUACAGAAUCGGCAAUACCAGAGAAAAAGAGUGGCAGUAGGAUGUAUAACUCGAGAUGCUGUUCCAAACAGUUAUUGAAUGCCUUGAAUUAUUCACGUUCUAAAGCCCUGUCCCACCCUCCCUAAACCCACAAGCAGUUGUGAUUAGGGAGGAAGACUGGCAUCACAGAAAAGCUCCUGGAUCUCCUGGGAAUGUCACCCUGACCCUUGUCUAAGUAGCAGCAGCUUCAAGCAGUAGAGCCCCGUGUCAUGUCUUGCCCGUGAUGAUUUCUUAUAUGAUUAGAGUAUAAUAAAUAAUUUUGAAUGAAGCCUUCAUAUCCUAAAGUAAUAGCCUCUUAACAACAGGGUCACCAACUAGUCCAGGUUUGUCCAAGAUUUGACUGGUCUUGACACAAAGUUCAACAUCUGGGAAACCCCUCAGUCUGGGGCAAACUGGGAUGAUUGGUCCCCCUACUUAAAAGGCAUUUAAAAUGCAUCUUCCCUAGGAUCCAAUGUGAUUCUAUAUUUGUUCUGUGGUCUAGAGUUCUUGUUACAUCCAUAUUCUACAGGCAGUCAUCUGCAUUGUCAGAAUGGCACCAGGGAACGCUCCUAGCUGAAGGGAGGGGUGGGUAUGUGGUGGGCAGGGGGAUUGGAUAAAGUUUGAGAGAGCAGGAAGAUUAAUGUCAUAUCGGAGUCAGACUGCAUGGCUUCUUUUACACUAUAAAUAUUGUAUGAAGUGCUGACGUAACCUUUACUGCAGCGUGACAUGGGAUUUGGCUGUUUUUAUGGCUCGUGAUUAAAGUAAGAAACAAGUCUCUGAUUAGAUUAUUCUUUUCGCCCCACAGACCUCUGUCCUUCCCAUUUCCAAGAAUGCUAUUUUAUUUAUACAAUCAAUCUAACUCAGACUCCAACACCAAAAUACGUGGGUCACAACCUAGAAAAUGUAUCCUAAGAAAUAUUCUGUUUAUUCUUUGCCCCAAAUUAUUUAUAAGCUCAGAGACUGACUUUGAUAUGCACUUGAGGGGAAUAAGAAGAGUUGAGACUUGUAAAUUCUGCUUCCUUUUAAAAAGUAUUAUUAUCUGUGUGUGGUAAAAUCCACUUGAAGUUCUCUUGAGGUUGCAUAAGAAAAUAGAUGGGUUUUUAAUGAUUUUAGUUUGUUGCAAUUGCAGGUAGCUAAAUACAGUCGGCUGAAAAGCAAAUUGAGCUCUAAGGAACAGAAUUCAAUCUAUUGGCUUUCUCCUUCUGGUCUGUCCUACACAGUAAUUUAAUUAUUUGUGAAACUUUUAAACUCAAUUGACUCCCAUGGAAUUUAUCCACGUUGGAGGGUGUUUAGUGUUAUACUCAUUAUAUCUUUUGGGCCUGGUCCGGCAGUUAGCAACUGGGCUUUAUUUAGUCAUAAAGAACUAAGUAUGUUUGAAAUGCCUGUGUGCAGUGUUUCAUGUCUUUAAAUUAUGUCUGUUCUUAAAAUUCAGAACAUUUCGUCUGCUUAUUAUGCUGAAAUGCAGUAGAACUAUCAGGUUCAAAUAGAGGGAAAUUUUUUUUUGUCUCUUGUAGCCCUUUAGACAGGUAUAUUGGGUGGGAAUUUAAAAAUUCAACUGUGAGUAGAGCUCAAAAUCAAAAAGAUCCAGUAUAAAUAACAUCAGAGGGUGAGCCCUCAUAAGUCAGCAAGUCUGAUGUGAAAAAUAGGUAUAAGUUUAAAAUCUUGCUCUGGCUGUUAGACGCCAUCUACUGGCCGUAAUUUCUGUCUGAUACAACUAGCCAUCGUUUCAACGCAGAGGGAGAAUCCUCAGGACCUGUUGUUAAAAUUCAAGUAGCAUUAUACGGCGUAGUCAUUUUGUGUAAAUCAAUCACGGAAUAAGCAUAGCUACGUUUUGAAAUUCAGAUUGCAUUUUG